AGUGAACGCUGGCGGCAGGCCUAACACAUGCAAGUCGAACGGCAGCACAGUAAGAGCUUGCUCUUACGGGUGGCGAGUGGCGGACGGGUGAGGAAUACAUCGGAAUCUACUUUUUCGUGGGGGAUAACGUAGGGGAACUUACGCUAAUACCGCAUACGACCUACGGGUGAAAGCAGGGGAUCUUCGGACCUUGCGCGAUUGAAUGAGCCGAUGUCGGAUUAGCUAGUUGGCGGGGUAAAGGCCCACCAAGGCGACGAUCCGUAGCUGGUCUGGGAGGAUGGUCAGCCACAUUGGAACGGAGACACGGACCAGACUCCUACGGGAGGGAGCAGUGGGGAAUAUUGGACAAUGGGCGCAAGCCUGAUCCAGCCAGACCGCGUGGGUGAAGAAGGCCUUCGGGUUGUAAAGCCCUUUUGUUGGGAAAGAACAGCAGCAGGUUAAUACCCCGCUGUUCUGACGGUACCCAAAGAAUAAGCACCGGCUAACUUCGUG
rnacentral:rRNA from 1 species